GGAAUUGGUCUCAGCCUUUUAGGCUGGCAGGUACGAGAUCUCCUAAGUGGCUGAAUGGGCUGGCAGGCCUAGACACCCAGGUCCUCCAGUGUAAUGUGAGCUAAAGAUUACGACAGUGAAUUGGUUUGUCUUGUUCCUGAUUUGAAUGAGAUCACUUCUAAAAUUUUACCAGUGUGGCAUCAGAUGUCUGCUAACAGAAGUCUCUGGGUUUAAUGGAAUGAAGAAGAAUGAUGUAACCCACGACACCCUCUGCGGAUGGCCAGCAUUCCUCGUACCGCAAGGUACUGUGCUUCCUUGCUGAGGCGUCUCACCCUGCUGGGCUGUGAACUCCCUGGAGACAGGACUCCUCCCCUCUCUGUAUCCCCACUGCCUAGCGUGGUAUCUGGUGCAAAGAAGGAACACAGGAGAUGUGUGAUGAACGAACCAAGAACAGAGAGGGUGUUGUGGCGCCGUCGUGGAGAUGCUGGGACGGCCGAGGCGGAAGGGGGCUGACGCAAACAGCCGUGUCUUUGGAGUCUCCCGUUAGGUCUCAAGUGUUCAUUGUGUUGACCACCCAGCUUGGAAAUAAGGAUGUUGACAAAAAUAAACCAUGUGAUUCUCCUGCCACAUCACCUUUCUCUCCCUAAUUAAGCAUAAGAUCAAGCCCUGAGA